AGAACGAACGCUGGCGGCGUGGAUAAGACAUGCAAGUCGAACGCUGAUUUCAGGGUAGCAAUAUUUUGAAAUUGGAGUGGCGCAAGGGUGUGUAACACGUGGGCAAUCUGCCGUGAAGCCUGGGAUAACUUGCUGAAAGGCGAGCUAAUACCGGAUGUGAAAAUUAGAAGGCAUCUUUAGAUUUUCAAAGUUGGGGACCGCAAGGCCUGACGCUUUACGAUGAGCCCGCGGCCUAUCAGCUAGUUGGUGGGGUAAAAGCCCACCAAGGCUAAGACGGGUA
rnacentral:rRNA from 1 species